rnacentral:rRNA from 1 species
UUCCGGUUGAUCCUGCCGGACCCGACUGCUAUUUGGGUGAGAAUAAGCCAUGCAAGUCGAAUGGAAUGCCAAAAUAUUCCAUGGCAAACAGCUCAAUAACACGUGAUCAACUUACCCUAUGGAAAACAAUAACCUCUGGAAACGGAGGAUAAUGGUUUAUAGUUGAAAAGGCUUGGAAAAGUUUUUCAAUAAAAGGGAAUAAUAAAAAUGGUUAUUAUUUUGCCAUAGGAUAGGAUUGCGGUCGAUUAUGGCUGUUGGUGAGGUAAUGGCUCACCAAACCAAUAAUCGAUAGGGGCCGUGAGAGCGGGAGCCCCGAGAUGGGUACUGAGACAACGACCCAGGCCUUACGAGGCGCAGCAGGCGCGGAACCUCCGCAAUACACGAAAGUGUGACGGGGUUACCCAAAGUGUUCAAUUUGAACUGUGGUGGGUGAGUAAUGUCCCCUACUAGAAAGGAGAGGGCAAGGCUGGUGCCAGCCGCCGCGGUAAAACCAGCUCUUCAAGUGGUCGGGAUAAUUAUUGGGCUUAAAGUGUCCGUAGCCGGUUUAGUAAGUUCCUGGUAAAAUCGGGUAGCUUAACUAUCUGCAUGCUAGGAAUACUGCUAUACUAGAGGGCGGGAGAGGUCUGAGGUACUACAGGGGUAGGGGUGAAAUCUUAUAAUCCUUGUAGGACCACCAGUGGCGAAGGCGUCAGACUGGAACGCGCCUGACGGUGAGGGACGAAAGCCAGGGGAGCGAACCGGAUUAGAUACCCGGGUAGUCCUGGCCGUAAACGAUGCAUACUAGGUGAUGGUACGGCCAUGAGCCGUAUCAGUGCCGUAGGGAAACCGUUAAGUGUGCCGCCUGGGAAGUACGGUCGCAAGGCUAAAACUUAAAGGAAUUGGCGGGGGAGCACCACAAGGGGUGAAGCCUGCGGUUCAAUUGGAUUCAACGCCGGG